AUACUUCCCGAAAGUAUGAGGGUUCCACUCAGUCCCGAGAGGUAUAGCAGUCCUUGCCCAUCAGGAUCGCUCUCCGGGGGGGUGCGGUUCGCACUCUGGGGCUUAGUCAGGAGCCCCACCUGAGAUGCGUGUGACCGCUGCGCGGUGGCGCCAUUGCGUCAAGUCGUGUCAUGAUUGCAUCACUACUACCAUCUGCUUUUCAUCGAGCAGACCAAGUCGUUUCACGUCUGAUUUUUUGGCUUCUCGCCACUAGAGCACCGUCGUCAUAAGGGUUGGUUCUCCUUCCGGCGGCCGAUCGGCCCCCACGGGGUUCCCUCCCGGCCGGGGUUCCUCUUCUGGACCGCCUACCCGCCGCAGCCACAGUGGAAGUAUGUUCACAAAAGGGUUAAAAAAACCGGAAAUUCGGUAUGAUCUCCCUCGUAGGGGGGGUCUGCGGAGGGAUCAUUACUGAGUUACCGCUCUAUAACCCUUUGUGAACAUACCUACAACUGUUGCUUCGGCGGGUAGGCCGUCCCCUGAAAAGGACGCCUCCCGGCCCGGACCGGACCCCCUGUGGGGCCGGACUCGGCGCCCGCCGGAGGAUAACCAAACGCUAUUUUAACGACGUUUCUUCUGAGUGGCAUAAGCAAAAUAAUCAAAACUUUUAACAACGGAUCUCUUGGUUCUGGCAUCGAUGAAGAACGCAGCGAAAUGCGAUAAGUAAUGUGAAUUGCAGAAUUCAGUGAAUCAUCGAAUCUUUGAACGCACAUUGCGCCCGCCAGCAUUCUGGCGGGCAUGCCUGUUCGAGCGUCAUUUCAACCCUCAAGCUCUGCUUGGUGUUGGGGCUCUACGGUCGACGUAGGCCCUCAAAGGUAGUGGCGGACCCUCCCGGAGCCUCCUUUGCGUAGUAACAUUUCGUCUCGCACUGGGAUCCGGAGGGACUCUUGCCGUAAAACCCCCCAAUUUUCAAGGUGACCUCGGAUCAGGUAGCUGCACUCC
rnacentral:rRNA from 1 species